GCGCCCGUAGUCCAACGGCAGAGACAACGGCUUUAGGUGCCGUCCAGUGUGAGUUCGAAUCUCACCGGGCGCA
rnacentral:tRNA from 1 species